rnacentral:rRNA from 1 species
GACGAACGCUGGCGGCGUGCUUAACACAUGCAAGUCGAACGGAAAGGCCCUGCUUUUGUGGGGUGCUCGAGUGGCGAACGGGUGAGUAACAAGUGAGUAACCUGCCCUUGACUUUGGGAUAACUUCAGGAAACUGGGGCUAAUACCUGAUAGGAGCGCCUGCUGCAUGGUGGGGGUUGGAAAGUUUCGGCGGUUGGGGAUGGACUCGCGGCUCAUCAGCUUGUUGGUGGGGUAGUGGCUUACCAAGGCUUUGACGGGUAGCCGGCCUGAGAGGGUGACCGGCCACAUUGGGACUGAGAUACGGCCCAGACUCCUACGGGAGGCAGCAGUGGGGAAUAUUGGACAAUGGGCGGAAGCCUGAUGCAGCAACGCCGCGUGCGGGAUGACGGCCUUCGGGUUGUAAACCGCUUUCGCCUGUGACGAAGCGUGAGUGACGGUAAUGGGUAAAGAAGCACCGGCUAACUACGUG